rfam:Triticum aestivum genome assembly, contig: Triticum_aestivum_CS42_TGACv1_scaffold_081195_1DS
GCCAUACUCCCUCCGUCCGAAAAAACUUGUCCCAAGCUAGUCCCUCAAAUGGAUGUAUCUAGCACUAACUUGAUGCUAGAUACAUCCAUAGUUAGUGCUAGAUACAUUCAUUUAAGGGACAAGUUUUUUCGGAUGGAGGGAGUACAUU